UUAUUUUAACACCUUCCCAAGUUGGUACCGACCUAUGAAUUUAGGGGAACUAUUAUUUUGUCGGUACCGUCCUAUGAAUUUUGGCGAACUAUUAUUUUAACACGUCGUUCCCAAGUAGGUACCGACCUAAAAUAUUAUUUAAGCGAUUGUGUAGUUCAAAAUUAAAAGUCCCAAGUUUUCACUAGGGAAAUAAAUACGCAUCCAUCCAUUCCAUCCCAUAUGGAAUACAAGCAAAAGCAUGCAAAAAGAGCGUGAUGCCAAGUAACAACCAUCCUUCAUCUCUCACCUUGGAAACACAUGUUUUUUAUGACCAAAAUUGUCUCACUAAAAAAAUCUUCCAAUGUACACUAACAUUCCAACUGCUCCCUGUCUUGUUCCCCAUCUUUUCACACUUUUUUACACACCCAAUUCCCACGAGACAUAUAUCUCCUAAACAACAACUCUAUGUUUUGUGCAUGCUUGCUUACAUAUGUCAUUUAUCAUGAGCAAAGUGACAGAAUUAUGGCUUUACAGAUAGGUUCCUAUUUGCUGCUUUAUCAUCACAUUUGCUCUUCCUCUGUGCUUCUUGAUAAGAGCUGCUCAUUUCAGACAAUAUAAAUAGUUGCUUCUUAUUCUCGUAUUACUCACUACACAUCCACAACUUUCCCUUGUUCUUGGGUCUCAAUCGUCUCGAGUUUCGCAUCUUUGCUCUAACAGACCAGUGAAAAAGUUUGGGAAAUGGAGAAGCAAAACUCGGAGCUGUUCCUGGAGAACUGCGAAAUGAUGCGUGAAAACGAGAGGUUGCGUAAGAAAGCUGAACAGCUCAACAAGGAGAACCAGGCCUUGCUUUCCGAGUUGAAGCAGAAGCUUCUAGAAGCAACUACCAAACAAAUAUCCGAACUCCAACUCAAAGCUAGCUCCACAAGUUCAGGAACAGCCAACAAGAAGAGCAAUAAAGCUCGCCCUCAGAAACACAACUAGUGAACAAGUUUUCAGAGAACUAUUUGGCGAAAUGUUCCAUCAUUUAUGUGAAACUCUUAUGAGCUGAUCAAUGUUUUUUUUUCUCGUUCUAGUCUAUCUUGUUAUUCAUCGUAUCCAUCUGCAUCCAGUAAUUCCGGUUUCUGCAGUUUUACAGAAACAGAAUAAAGUUGAAUUUAGAAAC